rnacentral:rRNA from 1 species
CUACGGGACGCAGCAGUGGGAAUAUUGCACAAUGGAGGAAACUCUGAUGCAGCAACGCCGCGUGGAGGAUGACACUUUUCGGAGCGUAAACUCCUUUUAUAUAGGAAGAAGAUGACGGUACUAUAUGAAUAAGCGCCGGCUAACUCCGUGCCAGCAGCCGCGGUAAUACGGAGGGCGCAAGCGUUACUCGGAAUCACUGGGCGUAAAGAGCGUGUAGGCGGAUUAAAAAGUCAGAAGUGAAAUCCUAUAGCUUAACUAUAGAACUGCUUCUGAAACUCUUAAUCUAGAAUAUGGGAGAGGUAGAUGGAAUUUCUGGUGUAGGGGUAAAAUCCGUAGAGAUCAGAAGGAAUACCGAUUGCGAAGGCGAUCUACUAGAACAUUAUUGACGCUGAGACGCGAAAGCGUGGGGAGCAAACAGGAUUAGAUACCCCAGUAGUC